CUGGAGGGUGGCACCAGUUUUCGCAACAACAGUGGCCCCGGUGUCUGGCGUGCGCGGCUCUUGGGGAGCAGAGGGCGGGCCUCAGGCUCUGGGGGAAGCGCUGCAGCUCGUCUGAGAGCCCCGAGCGCAGCGAGGCCACGCCUUCCCUGCGGGGCCAUCUAGCUCUCAGCGGAGCCCAAUGACGGCGGGCAUCAGCUGAGUGGCCUCGGCCAAGGUUCCAGAAACCGGACCUCCUAAGGUAUCCUUCUCGAAAGCGGGUCUCGGUGCCGCCGCAGCUCCUUCGCUUUUGCCUCCUCGGCUGACAAUGCGGUCGUUGCGGGAGCGACCUGCCUUUUCCCAGCCUCCUGAACAAAGACUGAAAGGAGUGGGUGACAACGGCGCGCCUUUGAUCUGAGGAGCGCACCUACCUCCCGAGUCCUCUUCAUCUCUCCGUUUUUGACGGUGGCUUGUAGGGACCUUCAAUUGAUACAGUCUCCCUCAUGCAAGCACAUGCCCUAGAUAGCAGCGAGAAGAGUCACAAGCAAAUGAGACUGAGAGAAGAUUGGAAAAUUAGGAGCUCCUGAAGUAUGAGGAUUUUCUCCAAAGAAUCCUGGUUAUAGACCGAAUUGUGAACCCCACCCCCAAAUUCAUAUGUUGAAGCCUAGCCUUCAAAGUGACCAUUUGAUAAUAGGGCCUUUAAAGAGGUGUGCACAGAGGAAAUACCACAUGAGGACACAGGGAGAAGAAAAGAGUCUACGAGCCAGGAAGAGAGGCCUAACCAGAAACUAACAUUGAUGGUACCUUAAUCUUCAACUUCCAACUUCCAGAACACUGAUGAACACACACCAGUAGAGGAUGAAGAUUCAAAGAAAAGCACCACUUCAGCUUCUACUUAAAUCAAGAUACAAAAGGAAAUUUUUAAAGAGCCGAGAAGAA